rnacentral:tRNA from 1 species
ACGUCCUUAGUUCAGUCGGUAGAACGCUGGUUUCCAAAACCUGAUGUCGUAGGUUCAAUUCCUACAGGGCGUG